GCGCAGGACAGCAACAACGUAGAGCUGCAAUCCCAGAUUUUGGAGACUCCCAGAGCUAGCUCCCGGUCUCCCCAGUCGCUCGGCUCGGGUUCCACUCCUGCUCCUGUUACUCGGAAGGCCAGCCUCCUGCCUUUGCAGUUGCUACGGAGGAGCAGUGUGCGGCCGGGCGUGGUGGUCCCUCGAGUGCGCAUCAGCAAGGCCCCUGCGCCCACCUUCCAGCCAGAGCGCGCAGCGUCCAAGGGCAACACCAAGGACAGCAUCUAUCUGCAGAUCCCCAAGUGGCGGUACAAAGAGGCCAAGGAGGAGAAGAGGAAGGCGGAGGAGGCAGAGAAGAAGCGCCAGGCAGAGGCACAGAAAGAAAGGCGGGCGCCACGCUGGAGGAAAAGGACGUGAAGGGGCUACGACUCUCAUAGGCCUGUGCCUGGUGUGGGGAAGCAGCGCAGGAAUCCUGCUGGGAGGCUGCAAGUGCUGGAGACAGCACCGUGGAGAGGGAUGCUCCUGUCUGCUACGGGGUGCGUGCUGCGUCACACAGCCUCCGGGCCAUUCACAUCUUCUAGAUCCACAAAGGACGGUCCACAUUGCUCCCAAGACAGAACUGGGAAAAGUACAAGUGAUUUUGUUUAAAACCAGUUCCUUGAGCAUUCUGUACACUAAGAGGUCAGUUUACCUAGAAGUCGCCCUUAAAGAACCCCAAUUAAGAAUUAAAAAAAAAAAAAAACAACCCAACAUAUCACAGGGCAUUUUCGCAUAGUUUUGUAUUUUGUUACUUAUGAAAGAUUGCAGCAUUUUACCAGUGACAGGCUCUUUAUAAUUAAGUCCAUUUUAAUACUUGUAUUUGCAGACCCUCUGUUUAAAAUCCUGUCUCUAGCAAUAAAUACUUGUAAUGAGUGUGUGAGUUACACAGAAGGGAUUCUCCCCUCGCCACUUGGUUCUGGCCUCUGCCUUCUCGUGUCCUAUGGACACACCCGUGCACUGGCUUUUCUUGUUAACUUGAGUGAUGCCAAAUGCCUGUUUUUACUUGAGAAAGGCACCGACUUCUAUCCAAAGCGAUCAAGUGAGAUGAAGUCUUAACUUCCUUUCAUUCUUUAACACUCUUUCCUUCCUACUAUCCCCAGCCCCUGUCAAUCAGUCAUUUCAUGAAAGUGGGUUGUGGGACAUUGCAGAAAUACGAUGCUGCUAGGGCCAAACUCAUUUCAAGCAAGGGGCUUGAAUAGACCAUCUUCAGGUGAUUUAAUGAAGGCAGGUUUUAAUGAAUGAGUGGUAGGAACAAAGUAAUAUGUGCUUACAAACAGCCCAUGUGGUCCUUAAAACUGUCAAAGGUGGGGUUGGGGAUUUAGCUCAGUGGUAGAGCACUUGCCUAGCAAGUGCAAGGCCCUGGGUUUGGUCCCCAGCUCCAAAAAAAAAAAAAAGGAAAAAA
rnacentral:lncRNA from 1 species